UACGUAGGGUGCAAGCGUUAAUCGGAAUACUGGGCGUAAAGCGUGCGCAGGCGGUUAUGUAAGACAGUUGUGAAAUCCCCGGGCUCAACCUGGGAAUUGCAUCUGUGACUGCAUAGCUAGAGUACGGUAGAGGGGGAUGGAAUUCCGCGUGUAGCAGUGAAAUGCGUAGAUAUGCGGAGGAACACCGAUGGCGAAGGCAAUCCCCUGGACCUGUACUGACGCUCAUGCGACGAAAGGCGUGGGGAGCAAACAGGAUUAGACUAC
rnacentral:rRNA from 1 species